rnacentral:rRNA from 1 species
UACGUAGGGCGCAAGCGUUGUCCGGAAUUAUUGGGCGUAAAGAGCUUGUAGGCGGUCUGUCGCGUCUGCUGUGAAAAUCCGGGGCUCAACCCCGGACUUGCAGUGGGUACGGGCAGACUAGAGUGUGGUAGGGGAGACUGGAAUUCCUGGUGUAGCGGUGAAAUGCGCAGAUAUCAGGAGGAACACCGGUGGCGAAGGCGGGUCUCUGGGCCGAUACUGACGCUGAGGAGCGAAAGCGUGGAUAGCAAACAGG